GACGAACGCUGGCGGCGUGCCUAAUACAUGCAAGUCGAGCGAGUCUGCCUUGAAGAUCGGAGUGCUUGCACUCUGUGAAACAAGAUACAGGCUAGCGGCGGACGGGUGAGUAACACGUGGGUAACCUGCCCAAGAGAUCGGGAUAACACCUGGAAACAGAUGCUAAUACCGGAUAACAACAGAUGAUGCCUAUCAACUGUUUAAAAGAUGGUUCUGCUAUCACUCUUGGAUGGACCUGCGGUGCAUUAGCUAGUUGGUAGGGUAACGGCCUACCAAGGCGAUGAUGCAUAGCCGAGUUGAGAGACUGAUCGGCCACAUUGGGACUGAGACACGGCCCAAACGCCUACGGGAGGCAGCAGUAGGGAAUCUUCCACAAUAGACGCAAGUCUGAUGGAGCAACGCCGCGUGAGUGAAGAAGGGUUUCGGCUCGUAAAGCUCUGUUGUUGGUGAAGAAGGACAGGGGUAGUAACUGACCUUUGUUUGACGGUAAUCAAUUAGAAAGUCACGGCUAACUACGUG
rnacentral:rRNA from 1 species